GAGGAAUCACAAGUUACCUUGAGAGGCGACCGUCAACUUGGUAAGAAUAUUUAAUUUUUUUUUAUUUAUUAUUUUAUUAUUCAGUGGCUCACUGACAGCUGCAGUCUGCGUCACUCACCAACCCGAGUUUCCUGCUUUCUUAAAUGAUAACUUUGUUUCCGUUCAAAAUUAAAUCCAAAAUAAUUAUUUAUUUAAUUCCAAUUUUUUAAAAUCCUUUUAUAUUUGGGUCAAUACUGAAUACUGUAAAGCUGACCACAUCUGAAGAGUAACCAAGAUUUACCUUAACUGGCGGUGUCACCAUCACAUCAAAAAUGUCAUAUGGUAGUAUCAACAAGCCAACUGCGUAGCAUAGUCAACCACCACACAACCACCAUCAUGACAUGACCUUAUCUCAAUUUCUGUUUAAAUACAUCCAUCUGACAUCACUAAAAAUACAAAUUGAGCCACCCUAAAUCACUGCAGGGUAGAUUUCCUCCAAAGCCCAGGAGACAACAAAGAAGAAAACCUUUUUGAAGUUUAUUCAAACAUCCAACUUUUUAACAUAUCAUAGAACAGUCUAUAUUUAUUGCUAGUAAAAAGAUUCUCAGUCAGAGGAUGGGCUGUUUUGAUAAAAUAACUUCCAGUGACUGUCAGCACUGCCACAGAGUCAAAUUUCAGGAUAUGAUUUACAGCCAAACAAUGGAAAAAGCCUGUGAUUACCUUCCAUUCCGCAAAGUUUUAUAGAGAGAAGUACAUUUAGACAGUUGAACGUGAGCUGAAUUUAAGUUUCAUUAGAGAUCAUUACACACAUCAUGUAAGAGAGGGUCAGCGAAGUGGAAAGAUGCACCAUUUAAUCUGCGAGACAAACCAAAAGAAGGGUCCUCAUAGUAAAUCAGUGCUUGCAUUGUUUUCUUUGGGAUGUGCUGAUAAAUUUAGACUCAUCUACAGUAUUUGUAUCAUCUCUGUGUGAUUAUUGGAAAAAAAAAGUGGCGUGAGAGCCGAUAAAAGGUCCUGACCUUUAACUGAUCUGUUAAUUAACCAGUUCACACAGACGAUGAAAGUUGAAGCUGCUCAUCUCAAUCGUUUUUUUCUACUGAAACACAUUGAUCUCCAACUUUGACAUUCAAUGGUCCUCAAGGAACUCCUACAGUAUAAAACAGACACAUGUUGCAGCUGACUUCAUAUCUAACAGUUUGUAUUCAUGAAUAAAAAAUCAGGAAUGACUGAGUUUAGUAGGAGGAUUCACAACACAACCAUUCUUUUUCAACAUCCUUAGGCCUUCAGUUUAACUAGAAGAAAAAAACAAACAAAACAAAGUGUCAUGGUCAGGGUAAACAAAUAUCAAUAGGGGUUCCUUCAAGGGUGAACCAAAGAUUCAAUUGCAUCCUCAGCCAUCUUGUAAAGAGGAUCUCUCUCUUUUCUUGUUGUCCUCGUGUAUUCAGGCUUUAGGGGGUUUUCCCUGUCUUCUUAGAGGGCAGCAGGAUUUGGAAACAGCCGCUGACGUGGGCCUGCGAACCCUGAGGAGACACUGGAUGUGAUAUGUUAUGCAAAUAUUCCUGACUUGUCAAAAAAGCAUCUGACAUUAAUGGUGCGGGACUGUUCGAGGUGCACUGCAGAAAUGCCACUGUGCUGCUGCUGCUACGGCUGCUGCUGGCCCUGCGUGAAUAGCACUUGGAUUUAAAUAUGGAACGCCAAGUCUCUUUUAUGAUUACACAUUAGCGGCUUCAAGAACAAUUGUAAGCUGCAUGUGCCACUUUUCAGUUAAUCCAUUACACAUCCAUCACCCAACUUACAGAAGCCACCUCUUGUGCCUUCUGAGCGCUGCCCAAGCCAGGGAAAGGGGUUUGACUGUAGAAGCUCCUGCUAUUAACAGAAUUAACUCCAGCCAGGAGCACAGCUCAGGGAGAACACACCAAUUCCAUUAUCUCAGCUGGACCGAGGCCAUUCUCUCUCCGCCACUCUGCAGCCAAAGUGCUGUAAGCAUGGAGCCCACCAAAGCCAUUGUACAGAGACACAACAUGGAGCAACUCUCAAAUGCACUUUAUCAAAGCCUCUCUGCUUGAAAUAUUCAUCUGGCUGGAAAACCACAUUUGAAUCUUUUGAAAAAAAUAAAGAAGUACAAAUAUUUAAUUCGUUUUUUCCUUUUACCAAGUAAGUUAAGUGAACUAUGGUGAACCCGGGAAUAUUUCUCACUCUUUAGUUUACAUAUACACCCUUUCACAAGACAUUUUAAAAGCACUUUUUCCCCCCAAGUUGUCCCUUCUGUUGAAUAAAUAUGGAGAGAAGCAUAAACAGAGAAAACUUUAAAAAAUGAUUGAACACAGCAGGACAUCUCUUAGUGAUAAAAAUAGCUCUCAAAAUUACAGCUCAUAAAUAAUUCAGUAGUUGGGUGACAAGGCAGCUUGUUUGGGAUAAUGUGUAGUGAGCGGGUUGGUAUAGCAGACUGGAACCCUGACAUGGUGAGCAGAGCUGUAACCAGGAUAAUAUUUGAAUUGUUAGUCCUCCUAAAAACGAGCAAACUUAGUCAUUUAUUCUUACAUUUCCACUGGUGGUAAAAUGAAAGAAAGGUGGACAAGUCUACAGCAGUUUUUCUGCCUCAUCACUGUCAGGGUCAGUGACUCUUUUGCUGUUAUCAGUCCUUGAACGCUCUGUGAGGGCUCUUCAAUGGAUUCUUAAAUAGACUCACUUUUACACUGCCUUUUCAUGACUGACUAAGUAAAGUGGGAUUACCUGUGCUGAGACUUUUUUUUUAAGAAUUCCAAUCUUUUUUGUCUACUUCUUUAAAUACAUCUCUUUUUAAAAAGUUUUGUACUCAAGUGAAGGCUGAUAUUGGACCAGAACCAGAAAACAUACAUGCUUUCUGCUUAAGUAUUGUUCCAGACAGAGAACCCAUAACCAAGGCUUUAUAGACAAAAGAGCUAAAUGGCCAAAAUAGGAAAUACAUGCUUAUGCUAGCAUGUGACUGCUUCAUUGUGCUUUGAGGAUAAACAAGUUAAAGCAUAUUACAUAUAUAUUUUAUACAGGCAUUUAGUAGGGCUGGGACGAUAUGCUUUCCUCUCGAUUCAGUUCUUCUGCGUUAUUUUGGAUGCUUAUUCAAUUUAAAUUGCGAUUCUGCGAUAUUGUCGAUUUUCUCAAUCUUUAGUCUGCAUUUUUCACACCAAUGAGACGAUUGAAUGAUGAUGAUUACUAUUCCAGGUAUUAUAUUUACAAAAAAAAUACAAAUCAAAUGUAAGUCCUUUUUUAAGAUGUAUUCUUAAAUUUGAAAUAAAAAUAAAUAAAUAAAAAAAUUUAACAUAAAAAUCGAUUUAAAAGUUGUAAAACAAAAAAUCGCGAUACUUGUGUGAAUCGAUUUUUUCUCCCACCCCUAGCAUUUGGUAAGACCACUGAGCACACAUGAUGACCCCCAGGCUGUGACAAGUAAUCCUAAACGAAUAAAUCUGUUCCCCUAUUGUACAACUAAGCCUACUUAAGGAGAUUAUUCAGAUUUUAUAAUAUUUUUUCACUGUUAAAGCUCCUUUACAGAGUUCUUGUUUAAUUAUUAUAAAGUAGACUGUUAUUCAUAUUGAUGCCUUUUCAUGAUUUACAAAAGGAAAAAAAAAAAGACCAUCAGGGACAACACUCAUGAUUUUAAUAUCAUUUUUGAUGCCUGAAACUGAUGUGAGGGUGUAUAUUCCAGUCAAGCAGCAAAAGAAAAAACCCAGUUUUAACAGUUUUCACACAUAAUAUUCACAAUAAAUGUUACAUUUGACUGUUGAAAUUCCGCAGGAUGAGAGUUUGCUGACUAAAGUCACUUCUUAAGCAUGUAGAGGACAAGAUAACUAAUGACUUUCUCUGUCCACAGGGGGUGCCAAAUUGAAAGCCACUGAAGUUCCUUGCUUUCAGUGAUACUGCAUCAACACAUAAAAGACAACCACCGCAACUGAUCCUGACCAGCCGCUUUUUGUAUAACUGAGGUAGUGACAAACACACACAAUAUAUAUCAUUGUAUUUCUUUUUGAAUGUGCAGCAAUUUCAGUUGAAAAAAUGAGCACAAGUGCAAAAACUUGUAGUCCCUAAAGUUUGUGAUUUAAG